ACAGUCACUGACAUUAGACUACCCCCGUAGUCCCAGCCGUAAACUAUGCGCGUUAGGUGUACUGGUGACCACGAGUCACCGGGGUGCCGAAGGGAAACCGUGAAACGUGCCGCCUGGGAAGUACGGUCGCAAGGCUAGAAACUUAAAGGAAUUGGCGGGGGAGCACCACAACGGGUGGAGCCUGCGGUUUAAUUGGACUCAACGCCGGAAAUCUCACCGGAUAGGACAGACAUAUGAUAGUCGGGCUGAAGACUCUACUUGAUGGUCUG
rnacentral:rRNA from 1 species